rnacentral:rRNA from 1 species
UACAGAGGUGGCAAGCGUUGUUCGGAUUUACUGGGCGUAAAGGGUGCGUAGGUGGUUGGGCAUGUCAGGUGUGAAAUCUCAUCGCUUAACGAUGAACGCGCAUUUGAAACUGCCCGACUGGAGUACGGGGGAGGAGAGUGGAAUUCUUGGUGUAGCGGUGAAAUGCGUAGAUAUCAAGAAGAACACCGGUGGCGAAGGCGACUCUCUAUCCUGAUACUGACACUGAGGCACGAAAGCUGGGGGAGCAAACAGG